rnacentral:rRNA from 1 species
GACGAACGCUGGCGGCGUGCUUAACACAUGCAAGUCGAACGGAAAGGCCCUGCUUUUGUGGGGUGCUCGAGUGGCGAACGGGUGAGUAACACGUGAGUAACCUGCCCUUGACUUUGGGAUAACUUCAGGAAACUGGGGCUAAUACCGGAUAGGAGCUCCUGCUGCAUGGUGGGGGUUGGAAAGUUUCGGCUGUUGGGGAUGGACUCGCGGCUUAUCAGCUUGUUGGUGGGGUAGUGGCUUACCAAGGCUUUGACGGGUAGCCGGCCUGAGAGGGUGACCGGCCACAUUGGGACUGAGAUACGGCCCAGACUCCUACGGGAGGCAGCAGUGGGGAAUAUUGCACAAUGGGCGGAAGCCUGAUGCAGCAACGCCGCGUGCGGGAUGACGGCCUUCGGGGUGUAAACCGCUUUCGCCUGUGACGAAGCGUGAGUGACGGUAAUGGGUAAAGAAGCACCGGCUAACUACGUG